GGACAUAGUGGUACACAUGAGAGACACUGGAUCUCAUCCCAUGGAUCCAUGAAGUCCUUCCGCUUUUGGUAGCUUAGACAAUUAGGGCUCAUUUUAUGUUUUUUUUUUUUUUGAUAAAAUAGAAGAUUGAGUAUUUUUAUCUUCAAGAGUAUGAUAACUUCAAUUCCACCUUAUGAUAGGAUAAGAAUCACAUAAAAAUAGCUUAAAUGAUAAAAAUAAUCAAGGACAUUCGAAUAUCCCAAAGUUCAAAUUCAACAAAAGUAAAUAAAGAAUUAGCCUUAUUAUAUAUUUUAUCUAUAAAGGUUAAUACUUUAAAAUAAUGCCCCUAACGAUAUUGCUACUAUUAUAAUUUUUUUUUAAGCUACAAGAAGUAUCUAAAUACAAUCAAUUAUGCAACCCACACGCAGGCGGUACCUGAUCAAUACCACCCAAUAGUGGGAAAACAUCACCACACGUAGGCGAGACGGGCGAAAAAAUAAAAUAAAAAAUAAAAAACACAUUUAAAUCUAACGAGAAGGAGAUUACCUUUUCUUUUAUUCUUCUUCUUAUCUUUCCUUUUUCUCAACUUCGCCUGCGUGUGUGAUAUGAACGGUAGAGUUUGAUAUCUUUCAAAGCCAAGACAAAGUUGACAAUGAUUUUAAUCAAACACUAAAAUUUACCAUACAAAGCCAAAAUUUCGUAUAAAUCAUGCGAGCUAGUUUUCAUAUUGUUAAAAUCUAAUUAAAGAGAAGCAAAAGUACCUUUUUUGUGAAUUUUCUUCUUACGUUUGCUCGUAUCGAUUGACUUUCGGAUCUCUCUCCUUAACUUCGCUCGUCUCGCCAGCUAAGUGUGUGAUUUUAGAGUUUGAUAUUUUGGAUAAACCCAAAGCAGAGUCAGAAGGGAUUAUAAACUACAAAUUCAUAAAGCUACAACUACAC
rnacentral:lncRNA from 1 species